AAUCAACGCUGGCGGCGUGCCUCAGACAUGCAAGUCGAACGAUUAAAGCUCUCUUCGGAGAGUGCAUAAAGUGGCGCACGGGUGAGUAACACGUAAGUAAUCUACCCUCGGGUGGGGAAUAACGUCCGGAAACGGACGCUAAUACCGCAUAAUGCAGCGGCACCUAAUGGUGACAGUUGUUAAAGGCGAAAGUCGCCUGAGGAGGAGCUUGCGGCAGAUUAGCUUGUUGGUAAGGUAAUGGCUUACCAAG
rnacentral:rRNA from 1 species